UACGUAGGGUGCAAGCGUUAAUCGGAAUUACUGGGCGUAAAGCGUGCGCAGGCGGUGAUGUAAGACAGGUGUGAAACUCCCCGGGCUUAACCUGGGAACUGCAUUUGUGACUGCAUCGCUGGAGUGCGGCAGAGGGGGAUGGAAUUCCGCGUGUAGCAGUGAAAUGCGUAGAUAUGCGGAGGAACACCGAUGGCGAAGGCAAUCCCCUGGGCCUGCACUGACGCUCAUGCACGAAAGCGUGGGGAGCAAACAGG
rnacentral:rRNA from 1 species